AGGAUGAACGCUGGCGGUAUGCUUUACACAUGCAAGUCGUACGCAAGUUUACUUGAGUGGCGGACGGGUGAGUAACACGUGAGAAUUCACCUUUAGGUGGGGAAUAACUUUUGGAAACGAUAGCUAAUGCCCCAUAGACUCGCAAGAGAAAAAAAGAGUAAUCUGCCUAAAGAGAAGCUCGCGGCUGAUUAGCUAGUUGGUAAGGUAAUGGCUUACCAAGGCGACGAUCAGUAGCUGGUUUGAGAGAACGAUCAGCCACACUGGAACUGAGACACGGUCCAGACUCCUACGGGAGGCAGCAGUGGGAAUUUUCCGCAAUGGGCGAAAGCCUGACGGAGCAAUACCGCGUGAGGGAUGAAGGCCUUUGGGUUGUAAACCUCUUUUAUCAAGGAGGAGUUCUGACGUGUACUUGAUGAAUAAGCAUCGGCUAACUCCGCGCCAGCAGGCCGC
rnacentral:rRNA from 1 species